GGGCCGGUCCGCGGGCGGGGAGGUGCCGCUGUGCCAGCGGCCGGACGGGAGGAUGCGGGCGCGCUGACGGAGCUGCCGGCUCCCCCUCUGCCGCCGUGCAUGGGCGGCGGGCGGCUGCCGGCCUCGCCUCGCCUCGCCUCGCCUCGCCUCGCCUCGCCUCGCCUCACUUCGCUUCUCUUCUCCGCUCCGGCACUUCUAGGAUUUGACAGAGCCUGCACAGCACUUUGUCAGCAGGAGUGAACAUCUGCAGCUGUUUUCAGAAACGACGCCCAUUUAUGUGAUUGAAGCAUGACAGAGGUGAUGAACACACGGGAACCAGUGAUGGAGGAAUUUGCACUCAGUCAGACUCCUGAGGAAGAAGGGAGCCCUUCCAGCCAGAUACUUUAGUGCAUCCAGCUCCAGCAGUGGAAGACAGCACAGAUACUCUCGAAAGCAGAACUGAAAAGGAUGAGUAGGAAUUCCAUGGCCUCAGAAGUGAAACUUCAUUGUGAAUGUUGCUGACAAGCUAACACACUCUGAAGAUAUGUCAAACUAAUCUGUAUUUAAGUCUGCAAGGGUUUUAUUUAGUUAGUACAUGGUAGGAAGUGUAUGGGCUUUAGAACUGUUCAUUUCAACAUUUUGACUUUCAGGCUGAGAUUCAUAUUAUUUGUUUAGUUUGUCCAUGGGAAACAAAGGGACGUGUUAGUAAAUGCGCCAUAGAGCUGAGAUUACAAAGGAAAAAUGUUCCUAAUUUCAAUUAGCACAUUUCAUUGGAUUUACCUUUUUUAAGCAAGGCUGCUUUCAGGUAUCAACAGCAGGACCAAGGGGUUACAUUUCUCCAGAAGGGGUGUCUUAAAUCUAAAACCUUUAUUGUUUUUAGCCAUUUAAAACUAGCACUGUGAUAUUAUGGACAAUAGUUGUAAUAUAAUGUCACCAUUUGAUUUUGUAACUUUUGUAUAGAGAUGCAAGUGUAAGAUUAGCCUCCAUCGCUACGCAGGAUCUCCAGGCUGCCGCCUGGGUGCAGAUCAGAGCAGAUCUCUCCCUUUGGCCAACCUGUGCAAAUUGAGGUGAACCAGCCUUGUGCUAAAUGUCUUUUCAGUAAGGCUCAGAAGUUUCAGAAACACUUCCUUCCUUGCUGUACAUUGAUGAACUGGAAUAGCUAGUCGCUGGUGUUCGUGGAGUGAGGCUGUUCGUUGUAGAUUUGGUUGGGUGGGUUGUGCUGUUUGUGCACUCUUUGGGGACCACGUCCAGCUGUGCUCUUCACCGAAGGCAGCGAAAUGGCUCCUGCUUCUGCCUAGGCUGGAUUUGUCCCACCUUGUUCAUAGAAGUUGUCGUAACUAUUCCUUUGGUAUGUUUUGUGUAUAAAAUGGAUGCAGAGGUUCAGCUCUUCCUCCCUCAACCCAAGCCACGCAGUGGUUAUGUGGGUGAAGGGAGCUCCAUGGCAUGGCCCAAUCUCCCCAUUCUUUUGUGGAGCCUUUUCACCCAGUGCCAGGUCCUCUCCAAGCCACAUGUGAGAGUGGAAGAGGGCCAGGGUGGUGAGACGCACACCAGCCUCCAGCCUGUCCCUGGGGAACCCUCACCUGGCCCAACCCCUCGGCUCUGGUCAUACAGCCAUCUCCAAGACCGCAGCCCACAGUGGGAUGAGUUCCGCACAUAUUGGUCUUUGCUGGAUGCUCUUUGUCUCCCUGUCUGGAGAUGGAUAUGAGGGCCAUUUCCACAGAGGCGAGCUUGCUCCUGCACAGGGACCUUCCAGAGACUCCCUACCUCUGGGCACCAUACCAGGAGAAGUAAUGAUCUUGGCCCAAAACAUUACCCCCUGGACAGUGUCGGUGGAGAUGAUGCACAUUCUCAAAGGGUGCAACUGCUUCAGUGACAAGAGUCUUGCGAGCUAUGAAGCUGGAUACCUCCAUCUCGGCAGGGCUGGACAGGGUCUGUACUUCCAAUUAAUGUUGCAGCCGGAAGAAGCCGCUUGCUGUGGGUGGAAUGAAAUAACAGGAUUUCUUCCAGCAUUAACUCCUGAGUUCACUUUCAAGUGCAUUCUUCUCUCCAGUAAUACUUUUCUCUAAAGGAAACUUUCAAUUGUGUGAUGAUGGAUAAAAUUUACUGGCCAGAUAUAUUAAUUAGAUAAGUUUAUACCUUCUUAGCAACCAAAUUUAAUAUAUUUACUUACAAAGAAUUCUGUGCAAUGAAUGUUUAAUACAAAGGAAAGAGACUAUUUUACUUCAAAGCAACAUUAACUUAUGUACAAAAUUAUAGCUCAUUAUUUGGGGUGUUUGGGAUCUAGGACCCUUUUUAUAAGCAGCGUAGUGUAGUAUAAUGUGAUACUGAAGUCUAACUUUGCUCUCUCAACCUAUAUAAAACUUGUUCUGCCUUUCUGAUGUACACGUCCUUACGCAACCUUUCCCCAAAUUAUUCACAAUGGUGGGAGCACCAGACCUUGGCAGAGCAGCAGAAGAUUUUGGGAUCACCUCCUGUGCCUGGCUGCUGUGCCUGGGCACAGGGUGCCCUUUAAAUGCUGCCCUAGCACUGGCUGGAGUUUGCUGGAGCUCAAGGGAAAAGUAGCGACGAUGACAACGUAUUUUUGUCCGCGUGAUUUCCUUGACCCCACGUCUGCCCAGCUCCGUGGGGAAUGACGACAGACGUGUCACUUGAUUUGCUUUUCACUUUGUAAAAGGAAAACCAGUUAUUUGGAACACUUCCCCUCAUUUUAUGUGCACUCUAUCUGCUCUCAGAUGCUCCCUCCCUUCCUGUUCUGGAUGGCCCUUAUCCCAUUUCCACCUGAGGUCAAUGGCACUUCCCUAAAUAAAUUUCCUAAAGAAACAACAAAAUGCAACAUCCACCCUGUCAAAAAGCCACACGAUGCUACUUUUUUUUGCUCAUCGUACACAGUGCUGCAGCCUGUGCAGAAAUGCCAGAUUUCCUUCUUCCAGCCCCACCACUGCCCUCUUUCCUGUUUCCUCUUUCUGCUACUCCCUCUGAGUGUUUCAGCUGAAGCAAAUGGAUGCUUCAGACCUCAGCUUUCCACUGAAGCUGUGUGGCCCCAGUUUAACCACCACGCAAAGCCAAACUCCUCCUCCUGCUUUUAUUUUUCUGAGCAUGGGCCAGAGGCCCUAAAGUAGGUGAGCAAGAUAGAGAGAAACUUGUUUUAUAUGAACAAGCCCUAUUUAUUCAACUUGCAGGUCUAUGAAUGUUCACUUACUUUGUCUGUGUGCAAGUAUUGUCUCUCUGAUAAACUCAGUUAUUGUUUUGUAUUUUUUUCUGGAUGAAAAGCUUUGUAGAAACUAAAAAGGAAAAAAAAAGACAUUCAGUCAUAUUUUUCUAGUCCAGCUUGUAGAAUAUUUCAUGUAGUGCAGAAAGGAAGUUUUAUGGAGUAAGACAUUGUUGGAUUUUGCUCUGUUUCUGUUCUUUCUAAUUUUGUAAAAUGCCACCUGUACAUAAUACUCAACUAAUGUAUGUUCUGUAGAUGUACUACACCAUUUAGCCUAUUAAAUGCCUACAACAGACUGAUUGGA